rfam:Planctomycetes bacterium RBG_16_59_8 RBG_16_scaffold_39906, whole genome shotgun sequence.
GGUCAAGCUACUAAGGGUACAUGGAGGAUGCCUUGGCGCCAGGAGGCGAUGAAGGACGCUGCAGGCAGCGAUACUCNNNNNNNNNNNNNNNNNNNGGCUUCGAUCCGGGGGUUUCCGAAUGGGGUAACCCGGUUCCGAUUAAUCGGAAUCAUCCCGACGCAAGUCGGGAAGCGAACGGAGGGAAGUGAAACAUCUCAGUACCUCCAGGAACAGAAACUCAUGUGGGACUUCCCCAGUAGCGGCGAGCGAAAAGGAACCAGCCUAAACCGAGUUGCGCGUUAAAGCGUGGGCGCGUUGCGCAACCGGUGUCACGGGGGCGUAUUUCCCGGGGCACACACCGGGAGAUGAGUUACAAAGACGAAUCCUAGCAGAAGGGUCUGGAAAGGCCCGCCACAGAGGGUGAUAGCCCCGUAGGUGAAAGGAUUCGUUCUCAUUCGUACGCUUCCCAAGUAACACCCGCCUCGGGAAAACGGGUGUGAAUUCGGCCCGACCAUGGGCUAAGGCUAAGUACUACCUGGCGACCGAUAGCGUACUAAGUAGCGCGAGUGAAAGGUGAAAAGAACCCCGGAAGGGGAGUGAAAAGAUCUGAAACCAUGUACUUACAAACACUCGGAGUCCCGGUACGACUUUACCGUUGUAUCGGGAUGACGUGGUGCCUUUUGCAUAAUGAGUCCGGGAGUACCUGUGCGUUGCAAGGUUAAUCAGCGAGAGCUGAGAGGCCGAAGCGAAAGCGAGUGCGAAUAGCACGAAUAGUAGCGCAUAGUUGACCCGAAUGCCAGUGAUCUACCCAUGGUCAGGGUGAAUCCAACCUAACCGUUGGAGGAGGCCCGAAGGCGUGAACGUUGAAAAGUUCUGCUAUGAACUGUGGGUAGGAGUAAAAGGCUAGUCAAACUGGCGAAUAGCUGGUUCUCCCCGAAAUAGCUUUAGGGCUAGCUUCGUGGAUUAACACGCGGAGGUAGAGCGACUGAAUGGAUUUUGGGGGUCUACCCGACUACCCUGUCCAACCAAACUCCGAAUGCCGCGUGCGCAAACCACGGAAGUCAGAAUGGCGGGGAUAAGCUCGUCACUCAAGAGGGAAACAGCCCAGAUCGCCGGCUAAGGUCCCAAAAUUCAGGCUCAGUGUCACAAGGAUGUGAAGGUGCUAAGACAGCCAGGAUGUUGGCUUAGAAGCAGCCACCAUUUAAAAAGUGCGUAACAGCUUACUGGUCGAGCAUCUUCGCGCCGAAAAUGAUCGGGCCUAAGCCUGAUACCGAAGCCGCGGAUAUGAGCAGAGUGUUGUCUCUGUUCAUGUGGUAGGGGAGCGUUCCAUUCAGCAGCGAAGUCAUCCCGGAAGGGGUGGUGGAGCGGAUGGAAGUGAUUAUCCGGACUCCAGUAGCGCGCUAAAGCUCGUGAGAAGCGGGCUCGCCGUAAGCCUAAGGUUUCCUGGGCAACGUAAAUCGUCGCAGGGUUAGUCGGCCCCUAAGGUGAGGCCGAAGGGCGUAACUGAUGGGAAAUCCGUCAACAUUCGGAUACCACCUGCCGGAGGUUAGAACCGAUUGGGGGGGUGGAGGAGGCUAGGUCAACCCUACGAUUAGAAAUGUGGGGAGACGGUUAUAGGAGGUCCGUUAGGCAAAUCCGGCGGACACAUACUCCGAGGGCCGGCUCGACAGCGGCCACAGGCCAAAGGAAGUGACUGACGCCAUGCUCACGAGAAAAGCCCCGUCGGGACAAAGGCAGGCGACCGUACUAAAACCGACACAGGUAGGCGAGGAGAGAAUCCUCAGGCGCUCGAGAGAAGGCUCCUAAAGGAACUAGGCAAAAUGACCCCGUAACUUCGGAAGAAGGGGUGCUCUGCAUCGUGUAGUCCCUUGCGGGCGAAGCGACGCGGAGUCACAGUAAAGCGGGCCGGGGAACUGUUUAUCAAAAACACAGGUCUGUGCUCAAGUCAGGUAAGACGACGUAUACAGACCGACGCUUGCCCAGUGCUGGAAGGUUAAGGGGUGGGGUUAUCGGCCGCAAGGUUGAAAAGCUCCUAACUGAAGCCCCAGUAAAAGGCGGCCGUAACUAUGACGGUCCUAAGGUAGCGAAGUUCCUUGUCGGGUAAGUUCCGACGUGCAUGAAUAGCGUAAUCACUUGGCCGGUGUCUCUAGGAGUCCCUCGGCGAAAUAGAAACGGCGGUGAAGAUACCGCUUUCCCGCAGCUGGACGAAAAGACCCCGUGAACCUUUACUGUAGCCUGGUAUUGGGUUUUGGCUUAACAUGCGUAGUAUAGGUGGGAGACUUUGAAUCCCGACUCCCGGGUCGGGAUGAGUCACCAGUGAAAUACCACCCUUGUUAUGUUAGCAUUCUAACCCCCGCUCACAAACGGGGGGACAGUGCCAGGUGGGCAGUUUAUCUGGGGCGGAUUCCUCCAAAAAUGUAACGGAGGAGUUCUAAGGCACCCUCAACCCCGUUGGCCAUGGGGUGGAGAGCGUAAGGGCAUAUGGGUGCUUAACUGCGAGACUUGAUAAGUCGAGCAGAUGUGAAAGCAGGACCUAGUGAUCCGGUGGUUCCGCAUGGAAGGGCCAUCGCUCAUCUGACAAAAGGUACUCCGGGGAUAACAGGCUUAUACCAUCCAAGAGUCCAUAUCGACGAUGGUGUUUGGCACCUCGAUGUCGGCUCAUCGCAUCCUGGGGCUGAAGAAGGUCCCAAGGGUUCGGCUGUUCGCCGAUCAAUAGCGGUACGUGAGCUGGGUUCAGACCGGCGUGAGCCAGGUCGGUCUCUAUCCACUGUGGGCGGAGGAGAUUUGAGGAGAGCUACUCUUAGUACGAGAGGAUCAGAGUGGACGGACCUCUGGUGUGCCAGUUGUCCCGCUAGGGGCAAUCGCUGGGUAGCUAUGUCCGGUAGGAUAACCGCUGAAAGCAUCUAAGCGGGAAGCCAACUCCAAGAUAAGAUCUCCCUGAAGGCUCGUCGAAGACUACGACGUUGAUAGGCCGGAUGUGCAAGAUCCGCGAGGAUUUCAGCUUACCGGUACUAAUCAGCCGUUCGUCUUGACCGC